GAUGAACGCUGGCGGCGUGCCUAAUACAUGCAAGUCGAGCGAACAGACGAGGAGCUUGCUUCUCUGACGUUAGCGGCGGACGGGUGAGGAACACGUGGAUAACCUACCUAGAAGACUGGGAUAACUUCGGGAAACCGGAGCUAAUACCGGAUAAUAUAUUGAACCGCAUGGUUCAAUAGUGAAAGACGGUUUUGCUGUCACUUAUAGAUGGAUCCACGCCGUAUUAGCUAGUUGGUAAUGUAACGGCCUACCAAGGCAACGAUGCGUAGCCGACCUGAGAGGAUGAUCAGCCACACUGGAACUGAGACACGGUCCAGACUCCUACGGGAGGCAGCAGUGGGGAAUCUUCGGCAAUGGGCGAAAGCCUGAUGCAGCCACGCCGCGUGUGUGAAGAAGGUCUUCGGAUUGUAAAGCUCUUUAAUUAGGGAAGAAGAGCAGUAAGUUAAUACCUGCCUGUUUUGACGUUACCUACAGAAAAAGCACCGGCUAACUUCGUG
rnacentral:rRNA from 1 species